GAGGCUGAAAAUAAUUGAAGUAAGAGUUAAAAAUAAUCGAAGUAACAGAACUUAGUAGUGAUGGACAUUGGAACAAACUUUUGGAACUCUGUUAAAACCGGCAAAAACACCUGGAAAAGGAGACGCCAAGGAAGGAAAAAGAUUGGAUGACUGAUAAAAUAUUGACACUCAUGAAUACAAGAAGAACAUUUAAGGACAAAGAGAAAGAUCAAUACAAACAAGUCAAUAUUGUAAUUAAGACAAGAUCCGAAAAGCAACAACAAUGGCUGGAGGACAAAUCUACUGAAUCUGAUACAGGCAGAUCAGAUGCCUGCAGAGCCACUAGUGAAGUUAUCAACAAAAUCUAUGAAUCCAGCAUAAUACCGCAAGACUGUCGGCGUUUGUUACCCUACCGAAAGUCGAAAAAUCGAAAGGAUUUAAAAAAGCACAUGCCAGGCAAUGCAGCGACUAUCGCACAAUCAGUGUGAUGAGACACACAGAAGGCAUUUGAAAAAGAGAAGAAUAUAUUAUUCUGAUUGUACCUUGUACUUUCAUGAACAAAAAAUGUAUAAUUAUUACUACUACUGAAUUAGC